rnacentral:rRNA from 1 species
AACACAUGCAAGUCGAGGGGCAUCAGGAAGAAAGCUUGCUUUCUUUGCUGGCGACCGGCGCACGGGUGAGUAACACGUAUCCAACCUGCCCUUUACUCGGGGAUAGCCUUUCGAAAGAAAGAUUAAUACCCGAUGGGAUAAUCAUUCCGCAUGGUUUGAUUAUUAAAGGAUUCCGGUAAAGGAUGGGGAUGCGUUCCAUUAGGUUGUUGGUGAGGUAACGGCCCACCAAGCCUUCGAUGGAUAGGGGUUCUGAGAGGAAGGUCCCCCACAUUGGAACUGAGACACGGUCCAAACUCCUACGGGAGGCAGCAGUGAGGAAUAUUGGUCAAUGGGCGAUGGCCUGAACCAGCCAAGUAGCGUGAAGGAUGACUGCCCUAUGGGUUGUAAACUUCUUUUAUAUUAGAAUAAAGUGCAGUAUGUAUACUGUUUUGUAUGUAUAAUAUGAAUAAGGAUCGGCUAGCUCCGUGCCAGCAGCCGCGGUAAUACGGAGGAUCCGAGCGUUAUCCGGAUUUAUUGGGUUUAAAGGGAGCGUAGGUGGACUGGUAAGUCAGUUGUGAAAGUUUGCGGCUCAACCGUAAAAUUGCAGUUGAUACUGUCAGUCUUGAGUACAGUAGAGGUGGGCGGAAUUCGUGGUGUAGCGGUGAAAUGCUUAGAUAUCACGAAGACUCCGAUUGCGAAGGCAGCUCACUGGACUGCAACUGACACUG